rnacentral:lncRNA from 1 species
ACCUCUAGCCAGGGACGCGCGCUCGGUCCCCCGCCGUGCGCCCCCGGUCCCGCGCCCAGGCUCCCGCCCCUGGCCUCCUUACCAGCCACUUGUCGCCCAGCUGCGAACUGGAGCGGGAGGCGGCGGCCGGAGGGCCCAGGACAGCCCCGGGAGGGCGGCGAGGCGGAGCAGGAGCGCCCCGGCUCCGGCCACAUUCUCAGAGUCAGGAAAAGGGGCGAGAGGCCACAUGUCUCCCUCUCGCCCAACUGAAAACGAAACGGCGCUCCAGCAGAUUGGGUGGAAAGAGCUGGGUCUCUUUUCUCUGUUUUUCACGCUAGAAAGGGCUUGUAAACAUUGUUCCUUUUAAAAUGACCUACCCCAGGCAUUUGUUUGGGCACACUUCUGUCCUGGGGUCAUCGUUCCUAGGUGGCUUCGGACCUGGGACUUUUCCUGUAUCUGCACAUUGUCGUUUUAUACACAAUUGCCAAGGUGGGACUGCUUUCAACUUUACUGUGCUUGAAGCUGCAAAGGUUCUGCCCUGAUGUUUCCUGGAAUAAUGCUGAGGACUGCCUUUCGGGUAGCCGCCCUAUUCAGUUCACUUCAUCUCGGAAAUACCUGACCCCUGCCUUGGAUCCAGCGGCCCUCCUGAGAGCUGAGGAAGGAGGAAAUCCUAUGUGUCUGCUCCCGGAGCUGCCACAACCCAUCUUCCCACAACUCGGAACUUGGAAAAAGGAACCCAGGACACGACUUUGCUUUUCUUUUGGACCUAGUUGAUACAAGUUAACAGGAUAUGCUUCUGGCCUGUUUCUGGAUUCUAAGGGUAGAACCAGCAUAAAACUAGUCAGUCCAAGUAUUUCUAAAGAUCCACAGACACAGUUCUCCUGGAUUUGGGAAGCCUAGAGAUAUUAGCACAAUAAUUAAGGCCCAAGGUAAAAGCAACAGCAGCCUGAAAAUGCAAAAGACCAUACAUUUUAAUGCAACUUUUAAAAGCCUUUCCACUGCACAGUGAAAGAAAACCACAAACUCCUUGUUUAAUAAGUGGGAUCACGUGCUUUUAACACGAGGAAAAGGUCAAUCUGAAGCAACUGAUAUGGAACUGCCAGAGUAGGAGUUGAAAAUCUUCCUAAACUGCUGGAGGAUACACCUCUGAUAGCUUGAGACAAAUAUCCUCUUGAUCAUUGUUUCACCAUAUUUGUCUUUGCUCAUGGAGAACCAUUUUGAUCCGUGGUUUAGCCUCCCAGGUGAUUGAACAAUACCGGUGAUCUGAGGCAGACCCUCUGUGACGGAUAACAGAAAAGAAAAUUGAGGAUCAGAAAAUACGCACAAUUUGCAAAAACCAUGGGAAAGAAUAUUGAUUGAACAUCUACUCAAGAACUGCAAAACAGAGAUUACCUGACCUAAAGGAGUCCAUUCUCAAUUUUCUGUGCAAAUUGGGGAAGGCUGUUGAUAAUCGGUGGAUGCUAUAGUGCCCAUGGAAAGACUCUAGUCUGAAGAUACCAGUCUCUCCCUCCCAAGAUCACCUCCCCUGACCAACCUUCUGCACUCCUGACAGAUACAAGGGAGCAAGCAAGUUGCACCCAACCUAAUAGUAAAUUGCAGGGACAUUUCCAUUCUAAGGAAGGAAUUUUUGUGUGUGUUGCAACUCAGCUUCUGCUCUGGCAUUUUGCUGUGCAUUUAUAUUGCCAAUCAUGUUGGAGAGUCCAUGUGGUGAUUUCUGAAAACGAGAUGUGAGAAAGAAGAGGAUAAUUUAAGUCUAGACCUACAGAUUGUGCUGAUAAAGUGAUGAAGAACUACAAUCUUCUUAGUCAUUUCAUUGUAUAAGUGCAAUAAAGGAUUUUGUGUCUUUCCUGGCAAACAACUUGUGACCACAGUGAUGGCUCCAGCAGAAUGGAAAAGACCCUUUACCUCACAUCUCAGAAGUAAAGAUGCUGAUUAUUUGACAUCGCCAUUGGAAUCUCAAAACAGUGUAAAGCAUUUGCUAAAAAGAGUCACUUUCUGAGAAAUGACUCAGAAUUCGACUUACGUACUAGCAGAACUUAUUGCCCAUAAAAGGAAAGGCCACACUUUUUGUGAAAACUUAAUAAUCCCUAGGAUGUAAAAUUAUACUGAGUUAAAUCCUAGUCCCAUUUUUAGUACAAGAAACUGGAAAAAAAUAAUCCACUCUCAAAUGGUAAGACAAAUUGAGAUAUUGCUGAAAAGCCUCUUGACCCUGAAAAGUUCUGAAUAAUAAACUGAUAAAAGCAGCAGCAGCAUCUAACUUGACACCAGUCAUGUCAUUUG